GUUUUCCAGGCAAAUCCGGAAAAUCAAGGCUGAGGCGUGAUGACGAGGCACUACGGUGCUGAAGCAACAAAUGCCCUGCUUCCAGGAAAAGCCUCUAAGCAUCAGGUAACAUCAAAUCGUACCCCAAACCGACACAGGUGGUCAGGUAGAGAAUACCAAGGCGCUUGAGAGAACUCGGGUGAAGGAACUAGGCAAAAUGGUGCCGUAACUUCGGGAGAAGGCACGCUGAUAUGUAGGUGAAGUCCCUCGCGGAUGGAGCUGAAAUCAGUCGAAGAUACCAGCUGGCUGCAACUGUUUAUUAAAAACACAGCACUGUGCAAACACGAAAGUGGACGUAUACGGUGUGACGCCUGCCCGGUGCCGGAAGGUUAAUUGAUGGGGUCAGCGCAAGCGAAGCUCUUGAUCGAAGCCCCGGUAAACGGCGGCCGUAACUAUAACGGUCCUAAGGUAGCGAAAUUCCUUGUCGGGUAAGUUCCGACCUGCACGAAUGGCGUAAUGAUGGCCAGGCUGUCUCCACCCGAGACUCAGUGAAAUUGAACUCGCUGUGAAGAUGCAGUGUACCCGCGGCAAGACGGAAAGACCCCGUGAACCUUUACUAUAGCUUGACACUGAACAUUGAGCCUUGAUGUGUAGGAUAGGUGGGAGGCUUUGAAGUGUGGACGCCAGUCUGCAUGGAGCCGACCUUGAAAUACCACCCUUUAAUGUUUGAUGUUCUAACGUGGACCCGUGAUCCGGGUUGCGGACAGUGUCUGGUGGGUAGUUUGACUGGGGCGGUCUCCUCCUAAAGAGUAACGGAGGAGCACGAAGGUUGGCUAAUCCUGGUCGGACAUCAGGAGGUUAGUGCAAUGGCAUAAGCCAGCUUGACUGCGAGCGUGACGGCGCGAGCAGGUGCGAAAGCAGGUCAUAGUGAUCCGGUGGUUCUGAAUGGAAGGGCCAUCGCUCAACGGAUAAAAGGUACUCCGGGGAUAACAGGCUGAUACCGCCCAAGAGUUCAUAUCGACGGCGGUGUUUGGCACCUCGAUGUCGGCUCAUCACAUCCUGGGGCUGAAGUAGGUCCCAAGGGUAUGGCUGUUCGCCAUUUAAAGUGGUACGCGAGCUGGGUUUAGAACGUCGUGAGACAGUUCGGUCCCUAUCUGCCGUGGGCGCUGGAGAACUGAGGGGGGCUGCUCCUAGUACGAGAGGACCGGAGUGGACGCAUCACUGGUGUUCGGGUUGUCAUGCCAAUGGCACUGCCCGGUAGCUAAAUGCGGAAGAGAUAAGUGCUGAAAGCAUCUAAGCACGAAACUUGCCCCGAGAUGAGUUCUCCCUGACCCUUUAAGGGUCCUGAAGGAACGUUGAAGACGACGACGUUGAUAGGCCGGGUGUGUAAGCGCAGCGAUGCGUUGAGCUAACCGGUACUAAUGAACCGUGAGGCUUAACCUUACAACGCCGAAGGUGUUU
rnacentral:rRNA from 1 species